UACAGAGGUCUCAAGCGUUGUUCGGAUUCAUUGGGCGUAAAGGGUGCGUAGGCGGCGCGGUAAGUCGGGUGUGAAAUCUCGGAGCUUAACUCCGAAACUGCAUUCGAUACUGCCGUGCUUGAGGACUGGAGAGGAGACUGGAAUUUACGGUGUAGCGGUGAAAUGCGUAGAUAUGACAUAGAACACCCAUUGCGAAGGCAGCUAACUACGCGAUUAUUGACGCUGAUGCACGAAAGCGUGGGGAUCAAACAGG
rnacentral:rRNA from 1 species